rnacentral:rRNA from 1 species
GGAUAAGUUAGAUAUGAAAGCCCCGGGCUCAACCUGGGAAUUGCAUUUAAAACUGUCCAGCUAGAGUCUUGUAGAGGGGGGGUAGAAUUCCAGGUGUAGCGGUGAAAUGCGUAGAGAUCUGGAGGAAUACCGGUGGCGAAGGCGGCCCCCUGGACAAAGACUGACGCUCAGGUGCGAAAGCGUGGGGAGCAAACAGGAUUAGAUACCCCGGUAGUCCACGCCGCAAACGAUGUCGAUUUGGAGGCUGUGUCCUUGAGACGUGGCUUCCGGAGCUAACGCGUUAAAUCGACCGCCUGGGGAGUACGGCCGCAAGGUUAAAACUCAAAUGAAUUGACGGGGGCCCGCACAAGCGGUGGAGCAUGUGGUUUAAUUCGAUGCAACGCGAAGAACCUUACCUGGCCUUGACAUGUCUGGAAUCCUGUAGAGAUACGGGAGUGCCUUCGGGAAUCGGAACACAGGUGCCGCAUGGCUGUCGUCAGCUCGUGUCGUGAGAUGCUGGGUUAAGUCCCGCANCGAGCGCAACCCCUGUCCUUUGUUGCCAGCACGUAAUGGUGGGAACUCAAGGGAGACUNCCGGUGAUAAACCGGAGGAAGGUGGGGAUGACGUCAAGUCAUCAUGGCCCUUACGGCCAGGGCUACACACGUGCUACAAUGGCGCGUACAGAGGGCUGCAAGCUAGCGAUAGUGAGCGAAUCCCAAAAAGCGCGUCGUAGUCCGGAUCGGAGUCUGCAACUCGACUCCGUGAAGUCGGAAUCGCUAGUAAUCGCGAAUCAGAAUGUCGCGGUGAAUACGUUCCCGGGCCUUGUACACACCGCCCGU